rnacentral:tRNA from 1 species
CAGUGAAAAGCCAAACUAGAGGCAUUUAACUGUUAAUUAAAAAAUUGUAAAUACAUUACUUCACUGG